rnacentral:tmRNA from 1 species
GUGUUAAUAAGUUUGAAAUGUUAGCAGACGCUAUAUUACAAAGACCUUCACUUGAAAAUCCUGACAACAAAUAAUCCUAAGAAACUGUGUGCGUGCUUCUACUCUGCAUCGCCCAUGUGACAGGGAUAGGGGCUAACAAAUAGUGGGAUACGCUGUCUCAUCUCCGCCUGAGGUGAGCUGAAGAAGACAAUCAGGCUGACCCAACGUAUAGCCGGUUACGGGGCGAUACUCGGGUGACAUCAAAACUGUGACUACACUCGUAGAAGCUUAUGUGUCGUUAUCUUCGGACAGGGGUUCGACUCCCCUC